UUAUUAGGAGACAUCCUGGGGAUUUUAAAAUGGUAUUGUGUUUGAAAUUAAUGUUUUGGCUACAAAUCGCAAUAUGUCACAGAAGUCUUAAAUGCAAAAAAUGUCCCACAAUAGGGCAUUUCACCCUACCAAAAUAAAAUGAAAUGUACAUUACCAAAUUCCUGUACUUAGCUUUUUUAUUGUUUAAAAGCUUUGUUUUUUACAAAUCACAGAAAUUUUGUUACAUGUUUUUAAAAUGUAGGAAACGUUAUUAUUUAUUAAUCGAUGUCGGAACUCGUUUUUUCUCAAUUAUGGAUUGGGUAAACUCUGGUCCACACUCCAAUACAGCAGGUGGCGAAAAUGUACCUUAACGUUGGUGGCACCCGCAAUAAAAAAAAAAAAAACAGAAGAAGAAGAUGGCGGCAUGCUGAAGAGUAUGUGAAAGGAGUGAGACUGUCUACUUAAUAAUGGAUGUGUUGGCUGUGAUGAAUGCAGUCCGAAGAAAGGUUUUAUCCAUUAAAAGAAAUGAUCUUCGAGGGAACUGCAAUGCUAAUGAUUCACGAGUCAUUGACUCACUGCUUAAUAAUGUCCAAAGAAUCAGCCACAAUGAACCUGAUCAAUACAAUUGACAGUCUAGUGGCAUUACAGGCAGCCAUUACGUCCAGACAUCAACAAGCUGUCUCUAUCUCAGCACCAGUCAUACGAACAGGUAAGUCAAACUGUCAGUAGGGACCUCUGUGAUUUUCUGUGUUUAAUAGAAGUUGUCUAAUUUUAAAGGAAUAGUUCACCCAAUAAUAUGAAUUCUGUCAUAGUUUUCUCCUGUUGUUGUAUGAUUGUUGUAUGCUGUAUGAUCUUUUUUUCUGAUAAACACGAAAAGAUAUUUUAAUAAAUGAUGGUAAGCACACAGCUGAUGGUAGCCAUUGACUGUCAUAGUAGGAAAACAAACGCAAUAGAGUUCAUUUAUCACAAUACUUCUAUAAUAUUUGUUUUCCUACUAUGGAAGUAAAUGGUUACAAUCAGCUGUGUGCUUACAAUCAUUUAUCAAAAUAUCUUCUUCAUUAUCACAGUACUUCCAUAAUAUUUGUUUUUACAAUAGGUUCAAGGGGUAGACCCAGCUUGAACGUGACAAGGGAACAAUUGGGGCUGUUGUUAAAGCAUGGUUUUAAAGCCAAGGCCAUGGCAAGGAUGCUCGGAUGCUCAACCUCGUACAUGUACCACAAACUGCAGGCUCUAGGAAUACGAAUGAGGGAUCAAUUUACACAGAUUGCUUUUCUAGAGCAACAUGUACAAAGGCUUCAUCAGCAGUAUCCUAAAUCAGGUUAUAAGAUGAUGCAAGCAUACCUUUCAGCUGAGGGGAUAAAUGUACAGAGACGACGUGUCCGCAGUGUGCUCAGUAAAGUUAACCCAGCAGCAGCAGCUGAGCGGUGGAGCUGUGCUGUUUCAAGACGGACAUACUUUGUCCCAUUUCCAAACAGUCUUUGGCACAUCGAUGGGCAUAUGAGUCUAAUAAGGUAAUGGCUUAAGUGUUGUGCUUACACACUGAAAUUAAUUAUACUGUUUAAGUAGUCUGAACCA
ensembl:lncRNA